GUUAUUUUACAUUGAAGGGGAAGUCUGUUUAAAAUAAACCAUCUAUGCCUAACAUUCCUAUGAAUUUGUAGUGUAUACAGUAACAUUUUUGGUGUCUUCAGUCAGCUACAUUUAGUAAAACUGACCUUAUAAUCAUCCACUCAUCUAUACACUGUGCAGCCUGUGCUUGUGGAUUUAACACAUCCAUAGUGGUCAUGGUCACUCCCUAUUCAAAUAGAGUCGGGUAUAAACAGCAUGUUCUUGGCUGUUCAGGUUUCCAGUGAGCUCUGUGAUAGAUAACACUCCCAUACACUUUAAAUCUGGGUGAAGCAGAACUCAGAGAAGGAUGAUUUUAGGACAUUGUAUUUUAUUUGUUCUCAUUUCAUAUUCUUAUGGACAGUCCCUGACCUCCUCUGCUUCUGUGGUGAAGAGACCUGGAGAGUCAGUCACUCUGUCCUGUACUGUCUCCGGAUUCUCAAUGAGCUACGGGAUGACCUGGAUCCGUCAGAAACCAGGACAAGGACUGGAGUGGAUCGGAUACAUUGACGGUGGCACUAGCACAACAUUUGCUCAGUCUCUGCAGGGCCAGUUCUCCAUCACUAAAGACACCAAUAAAAACAUGCUGUACCUAGAAGUGAAGAGUCUGAAAGCUGAAGACACGGCUGUUUAUUACUGUGCACGAGAGUUACAUUGACACAACAGACCCCAGAGCUGUACAAAAACUUACACAAGCAUGUCCUCAUGAGCUGUAAAUAUUCCCUCAGCAGGAAACUGAACCCCAGAGACAUUUAUUAUAAACAACAUCCAUUCAUUUUAGUGC